UACAGAGGGUGCGAGCGUUGUCCGGAAUUAUUGGGCGUAAAGAGCUCGUAGGCGGUUUGUCGCGUCUGCUGUGAAAACGCGAGGCUCAACCUCGCGCCUGCAGUGGGUACGGGCAGGCUAGAGUUCGGUAGGGGAGACUGGAAUUCCUGGUGUAGCGGUGAAAUGCGCAGAUAUCAGGAGGAACACCGGUGGCGAAGGCGGGUCUCUGGGCCGAUACUGACGCUGAGGAGCGAAAGCGUGGGGAGCGAACAGG
rnacentral:rRNA from 1 species